rnacentral:rRNA from 1 species
AACGUAGGACGCAAGCGUUAUCCGGAGUUACUGGGCGUAAAGCGCGGGCAGGCGGCUCGAUGCGUCUGAUGUGAAAUCUCCUCGCUCAACGGGGAGAGGCCAUUGGAAACGGUCGAGCUGGAGGGCAGUAGAGGCAGGCGGAAUUCCGGGUGGAGUGGUGAAAUGCGUAGAGAUCCGGAGGAACACCAGAGGCGAAGGCGGCCUGCUGGGCUGCACCUGACGCUGAGCCGCGAAAGCCAGGGGAGCGAACAGG